rnacentral:rRNA from 2 species
CUAAUACAUGCAAGUCGAACGAACUCUGGUAUUGAUUGGUGCUUGCAUCAUGAUUUACAUUUGAGUGAGUGGCGAACUGGUGAGUAACACGUGGGAAACCUGCCCAGAAGCGGGGGAUAACACCUGGAAACAGAUGCUAAUACCGCAUAACAACUUGGACCGCAUGGUCCGAGCUUGAAAGAUGGCUUCGGCUAUCACUUUUGGAUGGUCCCGCGGCGUAUUAGCUAGAUGGUGGGGUAACGGCUCACCAUGGCAAUGAUACGUAGCCGACCUGAGAGGGUAAUCGGCCACAUUGGGACUGAGACACGGCCCAAACUCCUACGGGAGGCAGCAGUAGGGAAUCUUCCACAAUGGACGAAAGUCUGAUGGAGCAACGCCGCGUGAGUGAAGAAGGGUUUCGGCUCGUAAAACUCUGUUGUUAAAGAAGAACAUAUCUGAGAGUAACUGUUCAGGUAUUGACGGUAUUUAACCAGAAAGCCACGGCUAACUACGUGCCAGCAGCCGCGGUAAUACGUAAGUGGAAGCGUGCCGAUUUAUUGUGCGUAAAGCGAGCGCAGGCGGUUUUU